UGGGGAAUAUUGCACAAUGGGCGAAAGCCUGAUGCAGCGACGCCGCGUGCGGGAUGAAGGCCUUCGGGUUGUAAACCGCUUUUAAUUGGGAGCAAGCGAGAGUGAGUGUACCUUUUGAAUAAGCACCGGCUAACUACGUGCCAGCAGCCGCGGUAAUACGUAGGGUGCAAGCGUUAUCCGGAAUUAUUGGGCGUAAAGAGCUCGUAGGCGGUUUGUCACGCCUGGUGUGAAAGUCCAUCGCUUAACGGUGGAUCUGCGCCGGG
rnacentral:rRNA from 1 species